CCUACGGGGGGCAGCAGUGGGGAAUAUUGCACAAUGGGGGAAACCCUGAUGCAGCAACGCCGCGUGAGUGAAGAAGGAUUUCGGUAUGUAAAGCUCUAUCAGCAGGGAAGAAGAUGACGGUACCUGAUUAAGAAGCCCCGGCUAACUCCGUGCCAGCAGCCGCGGUAAUACGGAGGGUGCGAGCGUUAAUCGGAAUUACGGGGCGUAAAGCGCUCGUAGGCGGUAUGUCAAGUCAAGGGUGAAAUCCCCGCGCUCAACGUGGGAACUGCCUUUGAAACUGGCAAACUGGAGUGUGUGAGAGGCUAGUGGAAUUCCCGGUGUAGGUGUGCAAUCCGUAGAUAUCUGGAGGAACAUCAGUGGCGAAGGCGACUAUCUGGCACAUAACUGACGCUGAGGAGCGAAAGCGUGGGUAGCAAACCGGAUUAGAUACCCGAGUAGUC
rnacentral:rRNA from 1 species